rnacentral:rRNA from 1 species
AUUGAACGCUGGCGGCAGGCCUAACACAUGCAAGUCGAGCGAGCGGCGGACGGGUGAGUACUGUCUGGGAACCUGCCUGAUGGAGGGGGAUAACUACUGGAAACGGUAGCUAAUACCGCAUACCAUCCGAUUUGCCCCGGUGGGAUUAGCUAGUCGGUGGGGUAACGGCUAACAUAGGCGACGAUCCCUACCUGGUCUGAGAGGCUGACCAGCAACACUGGAACUGAGACACGGUCCAGACUCCUACGGGAGGCAGCAGUGGGGAAUAUUGGACAAGGGGCGAAAGCCUGAUGCAGCAAGGCCGCGUGUGUGAAGAAGGCCUUCGGGUUGUAAAGCACUGUCAGCGGGGAGGCGUUACCCGAAGAAGAAGCACCGGCUAACUCCGUGCCAGCAGCCGCGGUAAUUC